rnacentral:rRNA from 1 species
UUUCCGGUUGAUCCUGCCGGACCUGACUGCUAUCGGAUUGAUACUAAGCCAUGCGAGUCUUUGUAGUAAUACAAGGCAUACGGCUCAGUAACGCGUAGUCAACCUACCCUAUGGACAAGAAUAAUCUCGGGAAACUGAGCAUAAUUCUUGAUAGAUCAUAAUGCCUGGAAUGGUUUAUGGUUAAAAUGAUUCGUCGCCAUAGGAUGGGACUGCGGCCUAUCAGCUUGUUGGUGAGGUAAUGGCCCACCAAGGCGAUUACAGGUACGGGCUCUGAGAGGAGAAGCCCGGAGAUGGGUACUGAGACAAGGACCCAGGCCCUAUGGGGCGCAGCAGGCGAGAAAACUUUGCAAUGUGCGAAAGCACGACAAGGUUAGUCCGAGUGAUUUCUGCUAAAGAGAUCUUUUGCUAGUUAUAAAACCACUAGUGAAUAAGGGGUGGGCAAGUUCUGGUGUCAGCCGCCGCGGUAAAACCAGCACCUCAAGUGGUCAGGAUGAUUAUUGGGCCUAAAGCAUCCGUAGCCGGCUCUGUAAGUUUUCGGUUAAAUCUAUGCGCUCAACGUAUGGGCUGCCGAAAAUACUGUAGAGAUAGGGAGUGGGAGAGGUAGACGGUACUCGGUAGGAAGGGGUAAAAUCCUUUGAUCUAUCGAUGACCACCUGUGGCGAAGGCGGUCUACCAGAACACGUUCGACGGUGAGGGAUGAAAGCUGGGGGAGCAAACCGGAUUAGAUACCC